GGAUUUGGUGUACCUCAGUGGUAGAGUGCAUGCUUUGUAUGUAUGAUGUCCUGGGUUCAAUCCCCAGCUUUUCCC